rnacentral:rRNA from 1 species
CUUAUGGCAAUUGACGGUACCUGAAGAAUAAGCACCGGCUAACUCCGUGCCAGCAGCCGCGGUAAUACGGAGGGUGCAAGCGUUAAUCGGAAUUACUGGGCGUAAAGCGUGCGCAGGCGGCUGCCUAAGUCGGAUGUGAAAGCCCCGGGCUUAACCUGGGAAUUGCAUUCGAUACUGGGCAGCUAGAGUUUGGUAGAGGUAAGUGGAAUUCCGGGUGUAGCGGUGAAAUACGUAGAUAUCCGGAGGAACAUCAGUGGCGAAGGCGGCUUACUGGACCAAAACUGACGCUCAGGCACGAAAGCGUGGGUAGCAAACAGGAUUAGAUACCCUGGUAGUCCACGCCCUAAACGAUGUCAA